rnacentral:rRNA from 1 species
UACGGGGGGAGCAAGCGUUGUUCGGAUUUACUGGGCGUAAAGGGCGCGUAGGCGGCCACCGCAAGUCGACUGUGAAAUCUCCGGGCUUAGCCCGGAAAGGUCAGCCGAUACUGCGGGGCUAGAGUGCAGAAGGGGCAACUGGAAUUCUCGGUGUAGCGGUGAAAUGCGUAGAUAUCGAGAGGAACACCUGCGGCGAAGGCGGGUUGCUGGGCCGACACUGACGCUGAUGCGCGAAAGCCAGGGGAGCGAACGGG